rnacentral:lncRNA from 1 species
GUCUUGGAAUCAAGUUGUUACUCCCAAGAGCUGACAGUUUUAGGUCAGGAAUAUUUUCAGUAGACGGAUUGCAAAAGCUGGAGACACCAUGGCGCCGAAAUACAGGCACAAAAUCAUCACUGAAACAUUCCUACACCUAAUAUUCAUAAUAUUACCAAUUUACACAUAUGAAGGAUAUAUUCCAAAUUAUAUUAGCGAUUAUCCUACUGUCGACAGCGCCCAGUUUUUCAGUAAUAUAAAGAAAGAGUCAUACAUUAUAAAAUCUGUGAAUA